GACCCACGGGAAAACCAGAGAGAGCGAGAUCGGGAGAGGGUUCAGGCGAGGAACCCCAAGGGGAAGGGCAAAGAUGAUGGGUUGACUCCGUAACAGAGAAGGGAAAGGGAUGCCAAGGCGCUCCAGGAGAAGGCGGCGAAGAAAGCUGCAGGGGGGGAAGCAGCAGCAUCCCGGAAUGCGGAAGAGGGGUUCUCUUUGCUACCGAGGCACUACUUGCUGAGCAUGGCAAAAAGAUUGCAGAUCAAUGAUUUGUGAUACAGAUUUGUGGAGUAAGAGGCUUUGAUGGGGGAGAUUCUGUGGAUCCCAGGACGUUGUUGGUGGAAGAUUGUGAUGUUCUCAUUCCAGCUGCACUUGGGGGUGUUAUUAACAGGGAAAAUGCUAAUGAUAUCAAGGCCAAAUUCAUUAUUGAAGCUGCUAACCAUCCAACUGAUCCAGAGGCUGAUGAGAUCUUAGCGAAAAAAGGUGUCAUCAUUCUGCCUGACAUUUUUGCAAACUCUGGUGGAGUUACCGUGUGUUACUUUGAGCAGUUAAUCUUCUUCUUAUCAUGUGUUUUAGAGAAGGAUGCAAUAUUUGUGUGCUGCAUGUUUUCUGCGUACACAAGCUCCUUAUUGUUCUAAUAUUUGUCAAUUUCCAGAACUCUUCAUCUCAAUGGGGUCUUUGUGGCCAUAAACUAAUCCAAGCUUAAAGCUCAUUAAUAUUC